GCCUUCGUAGUGUAACGGUACCAUACUCGGCUCGUAUUCGAGAGGUCCAGGUUAGAGUCCCGUCGAGGACA
rnacentral:tRNA from 1 species